rnacentral:piRNA from 1 species
UAUUCGGGGCAGAAGUGUCACUGGGAUUGUC